CACACAGAAAGGCUCCAGUUGCCUGCAGGGUCAAACCCAAAACCUUCUUGCUGUGAGGCAACAGUACAGCACCUUGUCUGUGAAGCUUCUCUGUCAACCAGGUCAUAGUUAUCCAACGAAGGUUGAGUACACCACCUUGUCACCCUGUGAAAACAAAUUAUGAGACUUUCAAAUACCACAGCUUCUAUAAAAUACUAUUAAGUGUUUGUCCUGUUCUGUGAGUAUGUUCAACAACUGCUGCUAAUAAUAUUUAAUGUUUUCCAUGUAUCUAAUAUAGCUUGCAUAAAUCAAAUAGAAACAUCAGAGGCAUGGUAAUGACAACAGUAACAUUUAUUUGUGUGACUCUUCCUUACUGGCAGUGUUGGGCAAGUUACUUCCAAAAUGUAAUACAUUAUAGAUUACUAGUUACUGUCAUUUGAGAGUAAUUAGUUAUAUUACAUUAUUACUGUCUCUGAAUUGUAAUGCUUUACACUACUUUUG